rnacentral:lncRNA from 1 species
AUCAAACUAAAAGAUGAACUCUCACAAUUAAAAAGGUGUUUGUGCGUGUUUUCAAAUACAGAUUUUACUGCUACUUUAUAUGCAAGUGUUUUUCUUGUGUUUUCAAUGAUUUCAAUACCAGAUUUUAUUUUUCUUAAUAUACGAAUGUGUUUCUAAUGUUGUCAAGGAUUUAGGGCAUGGUGGUCAAAGUUUAGCUGCACUAGUUGAAAUUUGACCAUGCAUCACAUCAUAUUGAAAUUGUACGUUUAGUCAUUCUAAAAAAUGAGUAACUUUCUGGGGUGACAGAUAGUCAGAUACUCAAUCUAACAAAAUACUGAACAGCUACUUUGAUGAUUUUGCUUACCAGGAUUUCAUGUGUAAUUGGGAUAGUCUAGUUAUGUAAGGGGAAUUUUUUGAUGUAAUGGGGACCUCAUUUUCUUUAAAAAAAAAAAAUUGUUAAUAUUCAUGGCCCGAAGGCUUACAAGGAUAAGGCCCGAGGGCUUACAAAGUGGGGACCACAUUUUCUACUUGUCGUUCUAAAUUGGUGUGGCAGUGGAGUCAAAGUAUCUCGUAAUGUUUGUUUAGCACUGACGUUUACAGAUAAAAAAAGUCAGAUUUUGUAAUAAACCAAGUGAAAACUGAUUGUGUUCUUUUGUGUGCGUUCCUUAAACCAAUCCACAUCACCCAGCAAGUGUAGCCUGUGACAUUCUGAAGUAGUGAUGGAUAAGGAACGAGUGCAUGGCAGCUGGAGCAAAGUGUGGAUCUUACUAGCUCGGAUUCCAGUAGAAGAUAUCAUUGGCGUAGUUCUGAGGGAGACUAUCACGAAGGCUAGAACAGUGAUCUAGAGAAAAUUAGGGGUAGCUGGGUGUUUACGGAGUUUUAGAAGUGUUCACUGUUUGGGUAGGGAAUUGUGUUAAAAUGGCGAUCUUAUAAGACAUAUCGACAAUAAACACACUCAGCUUUCUAGCAGCACCACUGUCAGCUGUAAUUCCACCUUUACCUGAGACCCUAGCCACAAAGAAUCUACCUUUGGCUCCGUCACUACUGUCACCACCUAAUUGCAAUCGUUACUACCUCUCCGUAUAGAUGAGAAUUGUUGUUGUACUUCUGGUCGAAACAGUAACUAGUGUGAUCCACAAACAAGGGCGUUAUAAACCAUUUUUGAAGGCUGUUCCUCGAGACGUCUCCCCCUCCUUUUUAUAAAUAGGUUCAACGUCCUAACUGAUCAUAGAACUCCUCCUCAACAGUUGCUCAUCCUGCAGCUAAAAUUAGUUGUCAUUCCACUUACUGAUCAUACUAAUCGUUAACUUUUAUCCUUUGCGUAAAAAAAGUAUAGGGAAUGGGAGUCUUUUAGUCAUGUGUUGAUUCAUUGUCAAUUUUCAUUUCCAUUGGGUAUAUUUUCACAGGUCAGCGUCUGUAGAGUGGGUGGUUCUUGAGUUGGUUCGUGAUCUAAAGUAAACUAGGGUCUUCCUCUCAGGCUAGUGGUUAUGGAAUCGUCGCAUUUUCAGGGCCAAGCUCAAAAUGUUAGAGAUCAAAGGACUUCUAUACCUUUGGUGUUAGAGAUGGCAGGAUUACAGGAGCAUCCCAUUUGCGGCCUUUGUUGUAGUUUUGAUGUUUGUUUAGUUUAGUCCUUUUGUUGCCUUCUGUUCUGUUGCACUAGUGUUAAUCUGUCUGCAGUUGUUUCUUUUUGUGUUGAUGUUUAGGGAAUAGGAUAGCUCAUCCCUUGGAGUGUCUGUACUUCAAUUUUGUACCUUUUUUUAUUUUUUAUAUUUUAUGAAUGAAUAAAGUGAUCGUUUACCUCUAA